rnacentral:misc_RNA from 1 species
AAGUCGUAACAAGGUUUCCGUAGGUGAACCUGCGGAAGGAUCAUUAAAGAAAUUGUUUAGAGCAGCCGGGAAAGGUCAGACGCCUGCGCUUAAUUGCGCGGCCGAAGAUACUUUCUGUUAACGACUGCUCUGCUACACACACACUUUGGAGUAGUUUUUUACAACACUUCUUCUUUGGGCUUCGGCCCAGAGGUUACAAACACAAACAACUUUUGUAUUAUAUCAUAGUCAAGAAUUUUUCAUUAGAAAAAAAUAUUCAAAACUUUCAACAACGGAUCUCUUGGUUCUC